rnacentral:pre_miRNA from 1 species
UAGCAGCACAUCAUGGUUUGCAUGCUGUAACAAAAAUGCUAAUCAUUAUUUGCUGCUUUG